CGUAACUCCGUGCCAGCAGCCGCGGUAAUACGGAGGGUGCGAGCGUUAAUCGGAAUUACUGGGCGUAAAGCGCAUGCAGGUGGUUUGUUAAGUUCAGAUGUGAAAGACCCGGGGCUCAACCUCGGAAUAGCAUUUGAAACUGGCAGACUAGAGUACUGUAGAGGGGGGUAGGAAUUUCAGGUGUAGCGGUGAAAUGCGUAGAGAUCUGAAGGAAUACCGGUGGCGAAGGCGGCCCCCCUGGACAGAUACUGACACUCAGAUGCGAAAGCGUGGGGAGCAAACAGGAUUAGAUACCCCUGGUAG
rnacentral:rRNA from 1 species